AGUUUGGGGGGGGUGUUGUCACUGGAAAGGGCCUUCCAACAGAGACUAUCUUUUCCCAGCCUCACUUAAGAUGAGGAACCUUGUGGUGGCGUUCUGGCUAACAGCAUGUGGUCAGAAGUGACGCAUUCUGAUUGCAGGGCUAACCCUCAAAUACCCCCUUCCUGGCUCUCCACAGCCCCCCUUCCCCAUCUGUGGGUUGGCUGUUUCCACUCCAGCUGCCGUUAGAAGCUGCCUGUUGAAGGGGCAGUGCCUCUGCCCACCCAGGUGCCUGGGUGAGCCCUUGUGGGUACAGGAAACAAACUUCUGCCAUGAGCUGAAUCCAGAUACUCUGGGUUCCCAUCUGCAGAGCAGCCCUGCCUAGGAUCCUCACGCCUCUGCCCUGACCCCACGAGCCCCAUCACCUUGGGAUGAUCCUUCAAAAUCAGGUUUGUUUCUGCAAGCCUGAGGACUGGAGUAGACCGAGGCACUUUCACCUCAUGAGCAUCAUCAUGCCCCAGGACCCACUGAUAGAAGAGUGCAGAGGCUUCUGUUUCGAUGUGUUCAUUAACUAAAGACUUGCGGUGUUUUCUCUUCUCUUCUGCAUGCAGACUUGUCUCUGAGCCUGGAAGGACCAGCAAAGGCAGGAGGCAAACCUCAAGUAUAGGAGAUUCCUGGAAGUUCUGCCUAUGGUGUUCUCUUUUUGUCUUCCACGUGGACCCAAGACAGAGAGCCUGAGACUCAGAGACGUUAAGGAAACUGAUCAAGGUCAUUUAACAAAGAGAACUGGGAUUCAAAGCCGGAUGUGUCUAACCUAAGAUCCUGUACCCAGUUCCUAUCCCGCCUACAAUUCUGCUUCUCGCUUGUACCCCUUACUCAACAA